rnacentral:rRNA from 1 species
UGGGGAGCGGACGGGAUUAGAUACCCCGGUAGUCCACGCCGUAAACGAUGGGGACUAGGUGUUGCGCGGGUGCACCGCGCGGUGCCGGAGCUAACGCACUAAGUCCCCCGCCUGGGGAGUACGGCCGCAAGGUUGAAACUCAAAGGAAUUGACGGGGGCCCGCACAAGCAGUGGAGCAUGUGGUUUAAUUCGACGCAACGCGAAGAACCUUACCAGGGCUAGACGGGACCGUGAGCGUCGCGAAAGCGGCGGGCGCUGGGGGGAACUCUGGCGAGCGGUCGGCAGGUGCUGCAUGGUUGUCGUCAGCUCGUGUCGUGAGAUGUUGGGUUAAGUCCCGCAACGAGCGCAACCCUCGUCGGCUGUUGCCAGCGGGGUAGGCCGGGCACUCAGCCGAGACCGCCGGGGACGACCCGGAGGAAGGUGGGGAUGACGUCAAAUCCGCAUGGCCUUGAUGCUCCGGGCGACACACGUGCUACAAUGGCGCCGACAACGGGAGACGACCGCGCGAGCGGGAGCGGAUCCCUCAAAGGGCGUCGUAGUUCGGAUUGCAGGCUGCAACUCGCCUGCAUGAAGGCGGAAUUGCUAGUAAUCGCGGAUCAGCAUGCCGCGGUGAAUCCGUUCCCGGGCCUUGUACACACCGCCCGUCACACCACGAGAGUCGGCCACACCCGAAGCCGGGACCGCGGGGGACUGCGGCCGUCGACGGUGGGGUCGGUGAUUGGGGUGAAGUCGUAACAAGGUA